GCGGUGACGGUGACAACAGCCCCACGAUGACCCCGAGGGACAACACCCGGCGCUUCGCGUCACCCGCGCCGAUGUCACCCUUCGAGCGUCACCCAUUUGUCACCCGUUUCAUUGUCACCAUUUUGUCACCCCUUCAGUGUCACCCUACUACCAUCACCCGCUUGUCACCCUUUCGGUGUCACCAUUUUGUCACCCGUUUCGCGACCACCAUUUUGUCACCCUUUUGGUGUCACCAUUUUACUGUCACCCAUUUGUCACCAUUUUGUCACCCCUUCCAUGUCACCCUCCUACUGUCACCCGCUUGUCACCCCUUCGGUGUCACCAUUUUCCUGUCACCCUUUCGGUGUCACCAUUUUGUCACCCGUUUCGCGACCACCAUUUUGUCACCCUUUUGGUGUCACCAUUUUGUCACCCUUUCCGUGUCACCCUUUCGGUGUCACCCAAUUGUCACCAUUUUGUCACCCCUUCCAUGUCACCCUCCUACCGUCACCCGCUUGUCACCCUUUCAGUGGCACCCUUUUCCUGUCACCCAUUUCAGUGUCACCAUUUUGUCACCCUUUCAGUGUCACCAUUUUGUCACCCCUUCAGUGUCACCCUUCUACUGUCACCCGCUUGUCACCCUUUCGGUGUCACCAUUUUGUCACCCGUUUCGCGACCACCAUUUUGUCACCCUUUUGGUGUCACCAUUUUGUCAACGCUUCAGUGUCACCAUUUUACUGUCACCCAUUUGUCACCAUUUUGUCACUCCUUCAAUGUCACCCUUCUACCAUCAC
rnacentral:lncRNA from 1 species